CCCCUCGAGAGUGGCGAACGGGUGAGUAAUAUAUCGGAACGUGCCCAGUCGUGGGGGAUAACGUAGCGAAAGUUACGCUAAUACCGCAUACGAUCUACGGAUGAAAGCGGGGGACUCGCAAGAGCCUCGCGCGAUUGGAGCGGCCGAUAUCAGAUUAGGUAGUUGGUGGGGUAAAGGCUCACCAAGCCAACGAUCUGUAGCUGGUCUGAGAGGACGACCAGCCACACUGGAACUGAGACACGGUCCAGACUCCUACGGGAGGCAGCAGUGGGGAAUUUUGGACAAUGGACGCAAGUCUGAUCCAGCCAUUCCGCGUGCAGGAUGAAGGCCCUCGGGUUGUAAACUGCUUUUGUACGGAACGAAAAGGUCUCUAUUAAUACUAGGGGCUCAUGACGGUACCGUAAGAAUAAGCACCGGCUAACUACGUGCCAGCAGCCGCGGUAAUACGUAGGGUGCAAGCGUUAAUCGGAAUUACUGGGCGUAAAGCGUGCGCAGGCGGUUAUGUAAGACAGAGGUGAAAUCCCCGGGCUCAACCUGGGAACUGCCUUUGUGACUGCAUAGCUAGAGUACGGUAGAGGGGGAUGGAAUUCCGCGUGUAGCAGUGAAAUGCGUAGAUAUGCGGAGGAACACCGAUGGCGAAGGCAAUCCCCUGGACCUGUACUGACGCUCAUGCACGAAAGCGUGGGGAGCAAACAGGAUU
rnacentral:rRNA from 1 species